rnacentral:lncRNA from 1 species
CGGGGGGAGAGUGCCCGUUUUGGUUGUCUCUUUGAACAGCUUCCCAACGGAGCCCACGGAGGUGCCCCCAGACACUUGGAACACAAGUUCUCAUUUAUCUGUGGUCCCUCGGAGAGGCUGGUGGAAGAAGCAACGAACUGCGUUUUGCUGCUCGGCAUCCUGGAACCUGGCGAUGCUCCUCGGGACUCUUCCGGGCCCGAACCGCGCACAGCGCCCGGGACCCCCUCUCUCCGUGGCAGGACCCUCGUGUACCGGGCGGGAGUUUGUAAGGAGACUUCCUGGGGUGCUGCUCCCCAGUAGGGCGUGUGCUCCGCGUAUCCGAAUGCGGCUGACCAUUGGGUGAACGAGAAGAAAGAUUGGGGAUCCCCGAGGUUGGUUAAUAAGGUCUCGGCGGCUGCGCACCGUCGAAACGGGUCGCUUGGGUGCGACCUAGACAGGAGCACCUCCUCCUCUCUGCCCUCGGGCCUGCAUCCUGGGUGCCAGAGGCAGAGCGGCGCUGUCCCGAGGCACCACUGCCUCACGAAUGGAGGGCAGGCCAAACCCACAUGCGGAAAGUGCCGGGCCUGCUUCCGCUGGUGGAGUGAGAGGGGACGAGGUACUGGGAUCCCAGGAAAGGUGCUCCGUGUGAAACCAAGUUGGGGGGCCCUAAUGCGGAACCUGCUGCGAAGGAGAGCAACGUGCUGGGGCCUCAGGGAGAACCUGCUGACCUAAAUACUCCGGUCCCUGAGAAAUGAGAAGAGGGCUUGCACAACAGGAAGUAAUAAGAGGGACGGCAAUGGAGCAGGUUUCUCUUCAAAGCCUGGCAGAGCAGAAGCUCUGGCAGAAACAACUUGAGAGCACUGGAAAGAAAGAUCAGAAACCCCAAGAAGCUCCCUCCCCUAGAGUGACAGGAGACCUUUUUGGUAAAUAGAAGCUAAAAGGACCAGAAGUGAGAGCCCAGAAAUAAACCUAAGCUUAUACAGUCAACCAAUAUUUGACAAAGGAGUGAAGAAUACUCAAUGGAGAAAAGAUAGUCUCUUUAGUAAAUGGUGCUGGAUAACUGAAUAUUCACAUGUAAAAGAAUGAAACUGGAUCCCUAUCUCACACCACUUGCAAAGAUUAACUCAAAAUGAAUAAAAGACUUAAAUAGGAGACCUGAAACCAUGAAACUCCUAGGAGAAAACGUAGGAAUAAAGAUCCUUGAGAUAGGUCUUGGCAAUGAUUUUUUGGAUAUGACACCUAAAGCAUAAGCAACAAAAUUAAAAAUAAACAAGUGGGACUACGUCAAACUAAAGAGCUUCUGCACAGGAAAAGAAACCAUCAACAGAGUGAAAAGACAACCUACAGAAUGAGAAAAAUACUUGCCAACCAUAUAUCUGAUAAGGUGUUAAUAUCCAAAAUUAUAAAGAAC